rnacentral:rRNA from 1 species
GAUGAACGCUGGCGGCGUGCCUAAUACAUGCAAGUCGAGCGAACAGAUGAGGAGCUUGCUCCUCUGACGUUAGCGGCGGACGGGUGAGUAACACGUGGAUAACCUACCUAUAAGACUGGGAUAACUUCGGGAAACCGGAGCUAAUACCGGAUAAUAUAUUGAACCGCAUGGUUCAAUAGUGAAAGACGGUUUUGCUGUCACUUAUAGAUGGAUCCGCGCCGCAUUAGCUAGUUGGUAAGGUAACGGCUUACCAAGGCAACGAUGCGUAGCCGACCUGAGAGGGUGAUCGGCCACACUGGAACUGAGACACGGUCCAGACUCCUACGGGAGGCAGCAAUAGGGAAUCUUCCGCAAUGGGCGAAAGCCCGACGGAGCAACGCCGCGUGGGUGAUGAAGGUCUUCGGGUCGUAAAACUCUGUUAUUAGGGAAGAACAAAUGUGGAAGUAACUAUGCCCGUCUUGACGGUACCUAAUCAGAAAGCAACGGCUAACUACGUG